rnacentral:rRNA from 1 species
UACGAAGGGGGCUAGCGUUGCUCGGAAUCACUGGGCGUAAAGCGCACGUAGGCGGAUUGUUAAGUCAGGGGUGAAAUCCUGGAGCUCAACUCCAGAACUGCCUUUGAUACUGGCAAUCUCGAGUCCGGGAGAGGUGAGUGGAACUGCGAGUGUAGAGGUGAAAUUCGUAGAUAUUCGCAAGAACACCAGUGGCGAAGGCGGCUCACUGGCCCGAUACUGACGCUGAGGCACGAAAGCGUGGGAGCAAACAGG